AUGGCCCCUCUGGGGCACAUUCCAUCCUUUCAGCCUGUAACCAGCAGAGAAAAAAAAUUGCAUAUUUUAUUGUCCUGUACAAACCUUGAGGCAAGCAAAAAAAUUAAAAUAAAUUUUAACCAUGAGGGAAAUCUGCACAUCCAGGCUGGUCAGUGUGGCAAUCAGAUUAGUGCCAAGUUCUGGGAUGUGAUCAGUGAUGAUCGUGGCAUUGAGCCCACCGGCACCUAACAUGAGGACAGCACCUGUAGCUGGACUGCAUCUCCAAGUACUACAAUGAAGCCACAGAUGCCAGAUAUGUUCCUCAUGCUAUCCUGGUGGAUGUAGAACCUGGGACCAGGGACUCUGCUAGCUCAGGCCCUUUUGGCCAGAUGUUUAGAUCAGACAUCUUUGUUUUUGGUUAGUCUGGGACAGGCAACAACUGGGCCAAAGGACACUACAUAGAGGGGGCCAAGCUGGUUGAUUCAGUCCUAGAUGUGGUGCAGAAGGAGACUGAGAGCUGUGACUGCCUGCAGGGCUUCCAGCUGACCCACUCACUGGGCAGGGGCACAGGCUCUGGAAUGGGCACUCUCCUUAUCAGCAAGAUCCGAGAAGAGCACCCUGAUUGCAUUAUGAACACCUUCAGUGUGGUGCCUUCACCCAAAGUGUCUGACACUGUGGUCGAGCCCUACAAUACUACCCUCUCCGUCCAUCAGUUGGUAGAGAACACUGAUGAGCCUACUGCAUUGAUAACAAGGCCGUCUAUGACAUCUGUUUCCACACUUUGAAGCUGACCAUGCCAACCUAUGGGGACCUGAACCACCUUGUCUCAGCCACCAUAAAUGGUGUUACUACCUGCCUCCGCUUACCUGGCCAGCUCAGUGCUGAGCUCUGCAAGUUGGCAGUCAACCUGGUGCCCUUCCCAUGUCUCCACUAUUUCAUGCCUGGCUUUCCCCUCUCACCAGCCGUGGAAAUCAGCAGUAUCAAGCUCUCAUAGUGUCCGAACUCACCCAGCAGGUCUUCAAUGCCAAGAACAUGAUGGCUGCCUGUGACCCGUGCCACGGCUUAUAUCUCAUUGUGGCGCUGUCUUCAUGGAUGGAUGUCUAUGAAAGAGGUUGAUGAGCAGAUGCUCAACGUGCAGAACUAGAACAGCAGCUAAUUGUGGAAAGGAUCCCCAACAACAUUAAGACAGCUGUCUGUGACAUCUCACCCCAUGACCUCAAGAUGGCAGUCACCUUCCUCGGCAACAGCACGGCCAUCCAGAAGCUCUUCAGGCGAACCUGGAGCAGUUCACUGCCAUGAUCUGCUGGAAGACCUUCCUCCACUGGUACACAGGCAAGGGCAUGGAUGAGAUGGGAGUUCACUGAGGCUGAGAGCAACAUGAACGACCUCGUUUCUGAGUAUUAGCAGUACCAGGAUGCCACCACAGAAGAGGAGGAGGAUUUCUGUGAGGAGGCUGAAGAGGAGGCCUAAGACAGAGCCCCCAUCACUUCAGGCUUCUGAGUUCCCUUAGCCAUCUUCCUUACCUGCCCCUUUCCUCUCCCUCAGAAUUUGUGUUUGCGGCCUCAAUCUUGUUUUCCAUUUUUUUCUUUUCUUUUGGGGGAUGUAGAACAGUGCCUGGCACACAGUAGGUACUCAAUAAAUACUUGUUUGUGGAAUGUUUCCUUUCUCUUUCCACCCUGGGAAGCCUAGGUUACUGCCAUUCUGGGUGACCCUGUAUUUCCUUCCAGUGCCCAUCCCUUUCAUCUGUCCAGUUAAUAUUUCCCUUUUUCAAAAUCUGCAAGAAGCUGGGUCUCAUCCAGAUCUCAUUGAGAACCAACUGGGUUUUGAAAGCCCAUGUAGAUAAUGGCCACCAGCCUAAGCCCAAAGCUGAGGAUGGUAGAAGAUGGCAGGUAGAAGUCACCGCAAGGAAGGGGAUGGGAUUUUCCAUCCUAAAAGUUUUGAGAGGGAAAUCCAGGCUAUUCAAGUCAUAAUUUCCAGGUAUUUUCAUUUUCCAUUUCUCAGCUUCAAGGGAGGUGUUAGCAGUAUUUUCUCCAUUUCCAAUCUUUCUCCAAGCUCUACCCUUUGGAGAGGUCUGCCUCACUCUGUCAAAUAGAAUCUUUCCCUCUCUGACUCUACCUCCCUCACACAUUGAAUUCCUCCCUUUCUCCUGAUCAGAGAAGGGGAUCAAGUGGGGAAAGAGAACUAGACUUGGUCCCUAGGCCUCCAGAAAUGUCCCCAAUCCCCACCUUUUCUUAACCCCCAGAAAAAAUUAACAUCCUUGACUCUAUGUGAAUGGUGUAUACUCCCACAUCAGUGUUUGAGUCAUUAUCCAGCGGAGAGGGCAACCCUCCUCCGUCUUUUUUGCAACAUCUCAUAUCUUCCUUUUGCUGUUGCUUUUUCCCCCCCUUACGCUUAGUUUUGUUCUAUCCUCCACUUCAGAUUUCUAUUUUGUGUUGAACUUGCUGCUUUUUUCAUAUUGAAAAAGUGACAUUGCACCAAGAACCAAAAAUAAAUGGGAAUUGGGAAAAAAAAAAA